rnacentral:rRNA from 1 species
GAUGAACGCUGGCGGCGUGCCUAACACAUGCAAGUCGAACGAAGCUUGACGGAUGAUUUCUUCGGAAUGAAACCAGAUAUGACUUAGUGGCGGACGGGUGAGUAACACGUGAGCAACCUGCCUUUCAGAGGGGGAUAACGGCUGGAAACGGUCGCUAAUAGCGCAUGAUGUGUUCGGAUGGCAUCAUCUGAACAUCAAAGAUUUAUCGCUGAAAGAUGGGCUCGCGUCUGAUUAGAUAGUUGGUGGGGUAACGGCCUACCAAGUCUACGAUCAGUAGCCGGACUGAGAGGUUGAACGGCCACAUUGGGACUGAGAUACGGCCCAGACUCCUACGGGAGGCAGCAGUGGGGAAUAUUGCACAAUGGGGGAAACCCUGAUGCAGCAACGCCGCGUGAAGGAUGACGGUUUUCGGAUUGUAAACUUCUUUUCUUAGUGACGAAGACAGUGACGGUAGCUAAGGAAUAAGCAUCGGCUAACUACGUG